AUUGAACGCUGGCGGCAUGCCUUACACAUGCAAAUCGAACGGUAACGGGCCUUCGGGUGCCGACGAGUGGCGAACGGGUGAGUAAUACAUCGGAACGUGCCCGAUCGUGGGGGAUAACGAGGCGAAAGCUUUGCUAAUACCGCAUACGAUCUACGGAUGAAAGCAGGGGACCGCAAGGCCUUGCGCGGACGGAGCAGCCGAUGGCAGAUUAGGUAGUUGGUGGGAUACAAGCUUACCAAGCCGACGAUCUGUAGCUGGUCUGAGAGGAUGAUCAGCCACACUGGGACUGAGACACGGCCCAGACUCCUACGGGAGGCAGCAGUGGGGAAUUUUGGACAAUGGGCGCAAGCCUGAUCCAGCCAUGCCGCGUGCAGGAUGAAGGCCUUCGGGUUGUAAACUGAUUUUGUACGGAACGAAAAGCCUUCUUUUAAUACAGGAGGGUCAUGACGGUACCGUAAGAAUAAGCGCCGGCUAACUACGUG
rnacentral:rRNA from 1 species